rnacentral:rRNA from 1 species
CCUACGGGAGGCAGCAGUGAGGAAUAUUGGUCAAUGGACGCAAGUCUGAACCAGCCAUGCCGCGUGCAGGAAGACGGCUCGAUGAGUUGUAAACUGCUUUUGUACGAGGGUAAACGCAGAUACGCGUAUCUUUCUGAAAGUAUCGUACGAAUAAGGAUCGGCUAACUCCGUGCCAGCAGCCGCGGUAAUACGGAGGUGUCAAGCGUUAUCCGGAUUUAUUGGGUUUAAAGGGUGCGUAGGCGGUCGGUUAAGUUAGAGGUGAAAUCCCGGGGCUCAACUUCGGAAUUGCCUCUGAUACUGUUCGGCUAGAGCGUAGUUGCGGUAGGCGGAAUGUAUGGUGUAGCGGUGAAAUGCUUAGAGAUCAUGCAGAACACCGAUUGCGAAGGCAGCUUACCAAGCUACUUCUGACGUUGAGGCACGAAAGCGUGGGGAGCAAACAGGAUUAGAUACCCCAGUAGUC